rnacentral:rRNA from 1 species
UACGGGGGGGGCAAGCGUUGUUCGGAAUUACUGGGCGUAAAGGGCUCGUAGGCGGCCAACUAAGUCAGACGUGAAAUCCCGUCGGCUUAACCGGGGAACUGCGUCUGAUACUGGAUGGCUUGAGAUUGGGAGAGGGAUGCGGAAUUCCAGGUGUAGCGGUGAAAUGCGUAGAUAUCUGGAGGAACACCGGUGGCGAAGGCGGCAUCCUGGACCACGACUGACGCUGAGGAGCGAAAGCGUGGGGAGCAAACAGGG